UGCCAGCCGCCGCGGUAAUACAGAGGGUGCAAACGUUGCUCGGAAUCAUUGGGCGUAAAGCGCGUGUAGGCGGUUUGGUUAGCGAACUGUGAAAGCCCUCGGCUCAACCGAGGAAGUGCAGUUCGAACUGCCAGACUAGAGUCCCGAAGAGGGUGGUGGAAUGCGCAGUGUAGAGGUGAAAUUCGUAGAUAUUGCGUAGAACACCUGUGGCGAAGGCGACCGCCUGGGAGGCGACUGACGCUGAGACGCGAAAGUGUGGGGAGCAAACAGGAUUAGAAA
rnacentral:rRNA from 1 species